rnacentral:rRNA from 1 species
AAACCAACAGGGAUUGCCUCAGUAACGGCGAGUGAAGCGGCAAAAGCUCAAAUUUGAAAUCUGGCGCAAGCCCGAGUUGUAAUUUGAAGAAGGUAAUUUUUGGUAGGAUGUGGACAAAAGUUUCUUGGAACAGAACGCCAUAGAGGGUGAGAGCCCCGUUUUGUCUUCCUCUCSUGCCUUGUAAAAUGCCUUCGAAGAGUCGAGUUGUUUGGGAAUGCAGCUCUAAGUGGGUGGUAAAUUCCAUCUAAAGCUAAAUAUUGGCGAGAGACCGAUAGCGAACAAGUACAGUGAUGGAAAGAUGAAAAGAACUUUGAAAAGAGAGUGAAAAAGUACGCGAAAUUGUUGAAAGGGAAGGGUUUUAAGAGAGACUUGGGGGGUAGCGAACAACUUUCCUUUGGGGAGGUGCACUCACUACCACCUGGGCCAAUAUGGGUUUGUGGAGUGGGAUAAAAGGGCAGGAACGUGGCCAUUCGUGGUGUUAUAGCCUGCUCCAAUACCACUACCGCAGACCAAGGAAAGCGAUUUCUAGGAUAUUGGCGUAAUUUCUUUAAACCAC